UCUUUGAAAAAAGAUGUUUAUUAAACAACUUUAAUUGUCAUAAAAUGACUAAAAUGGGUUUUAAAAAUUAAGGCUCUUCUCUUUCUGUGGAUUGCCAGAACAAUGUAAAAAUAAUAUCAAUCAACCCUGCUAAACGUUUUGUUCCUAAAGUUAAAUUUCAUAGAUUCCUAAACAUUUUAUGAUUAAGAUAAAAAAUUGGACUAUAAAUGACAAUUCAUGGCCAUCUGUGCUGAACACACAUUGAUCAGGUGUACAAUAUUCUAAUUGAGUAGUUAAGCAAAAAAUAUUCCAGUUAAAGCAUAAAUUUUAAUUUCAGCAUUUUAAAGUCAUUGUUUCCCCACAUGGUCAUGAUUUUCCUAAAAUUGAAAUAGUCUAAUACAGGAGCGCUAACCUUGGGACUCUAUAUACUCCCAGGAGGAUGACUGACUUGGCUGGCAAUUAGUUUGAUUAUAUUUUUUUAAAUGCUCUAAGGUAAAUUAUCAAAUGAUUCAGAAUUACAUGGCAUGCAGUAUCCAAAAUUAUGGCUCUGAUGCAUUGAGAUUUACAUUAAGAAUAAGAAGUGUCAUUCACAUUCAUUGUACACCCCACCCCUCCCACGAAAAAGAAAAAAGUCACUACCUAUUCAAGUUCUAGAUCUGGUGCAGCAUUAAGGAUUAAAACUUACCACUUUACCAGGCCUUCCCCAUGUGCAAAUAAAUCCCUCCUGACAAGCAGUGACUAUACAGUCUUCAAGAAAUAUUAGUACAGUCAGUCUCUCAUGUGCUAUCUUUUUACAUAUCAGCGGCUCUAACAAGGGAACAUCUUCCAUUCGAGGACACAGGGGCGUUCCCAGAGUUUUAGCAGGGUCCGUUUUGGUUUUGGUAACUAGAUUCAGUUUGUCACUGCUCUUGCUAGAAAUGUGUCCCAUGCUAUGAUUUCGCUUGUGAUCUUUCUCGUGGUGCCUCUCCUUCCGGUCAUGUAGUGAAAGUGUUGCAAAUUUGCUGACCCCAGAAGCAAUGGCCCCGUCCAUGACACUGCUUUUGCUGCCAGCAUUUGAGACUGCUGAAUGUGGAAGGCUGUUGGACCGUGGCAGAGGAGGCGGCACAGAGUUCCCGGGUGUUGUAACACUGUUCCCAUUGCUUCCAGCAGGAGGACUCGUGGCAUUCAUGACAUUUGUGUGUGUCCUUGCUCUUGAGAGGGGUUGGUGAGGGAAAAGGAUAUCUUCUGUAAGGUCCCAUAAACAGAGCUGUGUGUCCUGGCCCACGGAACCAAACCGAUACGUGACACUUACGGGGCGGCUGUCUGUAGAGUUCCGUUUGGAGAGCCUGGACUGUGUACUAUUUGCUCGAUCUCUGCCAAAAUGAAGAAGGUCUUGGAAGUCCUCAUCGCUGCCACUAAACUCCAUAGGGUCACCUUCUUCUACACUAGUGGUAUAAGGGUCAAACGCUACAACACUGACCCAGGACUUGUGCCCGUGGCCUCUGGCUAUUACUCGGCAGUCUACAAAGGACCAGACUGUCACCAAGUCGUCCUCCCCACCUGUCACGAUGUACUUGCCAUCCGGGCUCCAGCACACACACAGCAAGCCCCCAAAGUAGCUUUUCAUCGUACCGUGCAGCUCCACUGAGUCAAAGUUGAACACCCGCAGAAACCCGUCCUGGCUCACGCACGCUAAGAACUUGCCAUCUGGGGAGAAAGCAAACUCGUUGAGGGCCCCCUCGCCCACCGUCCACUUAAGGAGAGGGUUCCUCGUGGAUUUGCUCUUGCAAGUGUGCACGGCAAAGCUCUCUCCCUGCUUCAGAAGCUGGUAGUGGGGGGCUGUGGUGCCACAAGUGUGCUCCACAUUAUAUAAGUACAUGUUCCCACUCGAGUGGGCUACUAGGAAAAGGCUUUCCGAACCGGGAACCCAUUUGACACAGGUAACUCGUGACUUGUCUAUUAGUCUCUGGUCGGUACCUUGCGGACCCCCUUGUAGAUAUAGAAGUACAGCUCCCGGCCCACAUUGAAGCAGAGGCGGUCGCCGUUGCCAGACUGGUCGUUGAGGUUUACGAAGGAGACGCGGACAGGGUUGGAUCCCUGCGAGUUGAAGGGCACCCGGUUGGGCCGGCUGUACUCCGAGUGCGGCAGCAGCUUGUACAGACCUUCCCGGGUGGUGAAUUGGGUCUUAAUCUCGUUCAUCUCCUUCCCUCCUCCCUCCGUCGCCAUCUUGGAAAGCAGCGUUCAUCCUGCCCUAAGUGCCCGGAUCACGCCCACC
rnacentral:lncRNA from 1 species